GACGAACGCUGGCGGCGUGCCUAAUACAUGCAAGUCGAACGCAGUGGCGGACGGGUGAGUAACACGUGAGGAACCUGCCUUUCACAGGGGAAUAACCAUGGGAAACCAGUGCUAAUACCGCAUAGUGAAAGAUGGCCUCGCGCCUGAUUAGCUAGUAGGUGAGGUAACGGCUCACCUAGGUGAUGAUCAGUAGCCGGACUAAAGGUUGAUCGGCCGCAUUUGGACUGAGACACGGCCCAGACUCUUAUGGGACACACCUGUGGGGAAUAUUAGGCAAUGGCGCAAGCCUGACCCAGCAACGCCGCUUGAAGGAAGACGGUCGGCGGAUUGUAAACUUCUUUAGACAGAGACGCCGUACCUGUAGAAUAAGCCACGGCUAACUACGUGCCAGCAGCCGCGGUAAUAC
rnacentral:rRNA from 1 species